AAGAGUUUGGACUGCUCAGGACGAACGCUGGUGGCGUGCUUAACACAUGCAAGUCGAACGGUGAUGCCCAGCUUGCUGGGUGGAUCAGUGGCGAACGGGUGAGUAACACGUGAGCAACCUGCCCCCUACUUCGGGAUAAGCCUUGGAAACGGGGUCUAAUACCGGAUAUGAACACUUGCCGCAUGGUGGGUGUUGGAAAGUUUUUCGGUGGGGGAUGGGCUCGCGGCCUAUCAGCUUGUUGGUGGGGUAAUGGCCUACCAAGGGCGUCGACGGGUAGCCGGCCUGAGAGGGCGACCGGCCACACUGGGACUGAGACACGGCCCAGACUCCUACGGGAGGCAGCAGUGGGGAAUAUUGCACAAUGGGCGAAAGCCUGAUGCAGCGACGCCACGUGAGGGAUGACGGCCUUCGGGUUGUAAACCUCUUUCAGCAGGGAAGAAGCGCAAGUGACGGUACCUGCAGAAGAAGCGCCGGCUAACUACGUGCCAGCAGCCGCGGUAAUACGUAGGGCGCAAGCGUUGUCCGGAAUUAUUGGGCGUAAAGAGCUCGUAGGCGGUCUGUCGCGUCUGGUGUGAAAUCCCAUGGCUCAACUGUGGGCUUGCAUCGGGUACGGGCAGACUAGAGUGCUGUAGGGGAGACUGGAAUUCCUGGUGUAGCGGUGGAAUGCGCAGAUAUCAGGAGGAACACCGAUGGCGAAGGCAGGUCUCUGGGCAGUUACUGACGCUGAGGAGCGAAAGCAUGGGGAGCGAACAGGAUUAGAUACCCUGGUAGUCCAUGCCGUAAACGUUGGGCACUAGGUGUGGGGCCAGUUCCACUGGUUCUGUGCCGCAGCUAACGCAUUAAGUGCCCCGCCUGGGGAGUACGGCCGCAAGGCUAAAACUCAAAGGAAUUGACGGGGGCCCGCACAAGCGGCGGAGCAUGCGGAUUAAUUCGAUGCAACGCGAAGAACCUUACCAAGGCUUGACAUGUACGAGAAAGCCCCAGAGAUGGGGUUCUCUUUGGACACUCGUACACAGGUGGUGCAUGGUUGUCGUCAGCUCGUGUCGUGAGAUGUUGGGUUAAGUCCCGCAACGAGCGCAACCCUUAUCCUAUGUUGCCAGCGGGUUAUGCCGGGGACUCAUGGGAGACUGCCGGGGUCAACUCGGAGGAAGGUGGGGAUGACGUCAAAUCAUCAUGCCCCUUAUGUCUUGGGCUUCACGCAUGCUACAAUGGCCGGUACAGAGGGCUGCGAUACCGUGAGGUGGAGCGAAUCCCAAAAAGCCGGUCUCAGUUCGGAUCGGGGUCUGCAACUCGACCCCGUGAAGUCGGAGUCGCUAGUAAUCGCAGAUCAGCAACGCUGCGGUGAAUACGUUCCCGGGCCUUGUACACACCGCCCGUCAAGUCACGAAAGUUGGUAACACCCGAAGCUCACGGCCCAACCCCUUGUGGGAGGGAGUGGUCGAAGGUGGGACUGGCGAUUGGGACUAAGUCGUAACAAGGUAGCCGUACCGGAAGGUGCGGCUGGAUCACCUCCAU
rnacentral:rRNA from 1 species